rnacentral:rRNA from 1 species
AGUGAACGCUGGCGGUAGGCCUAACACAUGCAAGUCGAACGGCAGCACAGGAGAGCUUGCUCUCUGGGUGGCGAGUGGCGGACGGGUGAGGAAUACAUCGGAAUCUACUCUGUCGUGGGGGAUAACGUAGGGAAACUUACGCUAAUACCGCAUACGGCCUACGGGUGAAAGCAGGGGAUCUUCGGACCUUGCGCGAUUGAACGAGCCGAUGUCGGAUUAGCUAGUUGGCGGGGUAAAGGCCCACCAAGGCGACGAUCCGUAGCUGGUCUGAGAGGAUGAUCAGCCACACUGGAACGGAGACACGGUCCAGACUCCUACGGGAGGCAGCAGUGGGGAAUAUUGGCCAAUGGGCGCAAGCCUGAUCCAGCCAUACCGCGUGGGUGAAGAAGGCCUUCGGGUUGUAAAGCCCUUUUGUUGGGAAAGAAAUCCAGCUGGCUAAUACCCGGUUGGGAUGACGGUACCCAAAGAAUAAGCACCGGCUAACUUCGUGCCAGCCGCCGCCGUAA